rnacentral:rRNA from 1 species
UACAGAGGGGGCAAGCGUUGUUCGGAAUUACUGGGCGUAAAGGGCGCGUAGGCGGCCCGCUAAGUCGAACGUGAAAUCCCCGGGCUCAACCCGGGAACUGCGUCCGAUACUGGCGGGCUUGAAUCCGGGAGAGGGAUGCGGAAUUCCAGGUGUAGCGGUGAAAUGCGUAGAUAUCUGGAGGAACACCGGUGGCGAAGGCGGCAUCCUGGACCGGCAUUGACGCUGAGGCGCGAAAGCCAGGGGAAGCCAAAGCGGGG